rnacentral:lncRNA from 1 species
CUCACCUCCACCACAACUUAUUUCCACCCACCUCAUUGCUCUCUUCCUUAUAAUUCAUCUAACUAUAACAUCAUGCUUACAAUAACCAAUGUUGAACAAAAAAAAGGAAGAAGAAGGAAAAUACUAAGAAGGGAGGAGCUAAAAAAUUACCGACGAAGACACUUUGUUUUAUGUACCAUAACCACCGCUUAAUAUCGCCGGUAACACAACUCAACUGAAAAAAUAACACACAAAUCACCUCCGACAAGUGCAGCCACCAACGCACGUCACUACCCUUGCCGACAUCUCCGCCUUCUUCCGUCGGAGCUGCUUCACAACUCUAUCUGACCGUCGUCACCAUUGAAAGUAAUUUCUCCAUCAACUUUUGAGUUUUACUCAAUCUUGAAGUGUUUUGCGUGUCUGUGUAAUUAAGCUUGAAUUUGAAAGAAAAUUUUAAGAUACAAAGUGAAAUAUGCUUUUGUGGUUUAAGUUGAGGUUGUUCUUUUAUUAAAAACUUUAGAAGGAAAUGUUGUGUGUGAAGAAUGGGAUAAAGCUGAGUUUUGUUUUCAUAUCUUUUAAUUUUAUUUCUCUGUUACUUCAUUCAUUUGUUCCAUGUUUGAUAUACAUGUAUAUAUAUUUUACUUUGUCUUGACCUUUUUUUAAUAUACA